rnacentral:rRNA from 2 species
AAUAAACUAAAUAAAAUUACAUUUAAAUCCACCUUCAAUAAAAUAUUUCAAUUUUAUAUUCAUUUAAAUAAAUUUAUUGUAAUCCAUUAUAUUCUUAAUUAUAAUCUACAUCUUGAUCUGAAUUAAUUUUUUAUUUUAAUUUUUAAAUAUUAUAUUUUAUAAAAAAUAUUUUUUUAACAACGAUAUAUAAAAUUUUAAAUUAAGUAAAUUUAUUCGUGGAUUAUCAAUUAUUAAACAGAUUCCUCUAAAUGAACUAAAAUACCGCCAUAUUAUUUAAGUUUCAAUAAAUAAUUAUUUACUAUUUUAGUAUUAUAAUUUAAAUUUUUAAUAAUAGGGUAUCUAAU